rnacentral:rRNA from 1 species
UACAGAGGAUGCAAGCGUUAUCCGGAAUGAUUGGGCGUAAAGCGUCUGUAGGUGGCUUUUUAAGUCCGCCGUCAAAUCCCAGGGCUCAACUCUGGACAGGCGGUGGAAACUACCAAGCUGGAGUACGGUAGGGGCAGAGGGAAUUUCUGGUGGAGCGGUGAAAUGCAUAGAGAUCGGAAAGAACACCAACGGCGAAAGUACUCUGUUGGGCUGACACUGACACUGAGAUACGAAAGCUAGUGGAGCGAAUGGG